GACGAACGCUGGCGGCGUGCCUAAUACAUGCAAGUCGAACGCGUUGCGAACGGGUGAGUAACGCGUAGUUACCUUCCUCAUCCUGGCGGAUAACUAUUGGAAACGCUAGCUAAUACCGCCUACUGCGAGAUUGACCUGCGUUGUAUUCGCUAGUUGGUGGGGUAAAUGCUCACCAAGGCGACGAAACAUAGCCGACCUGAGAGGGGGGAUGGCCAAAACUGGAACGAGGAACGGGCCAAGAUUCGAAGGGGAGCAGGAGUAGGGAAACGUCGGGAAUGGAAGGAAGGCUGACCGGGGAACGCCGGGGGAGUGGAGAAGGGUUUCGGGUCGUAAAGCUCCGUUGGUAGGGGAGCGGUAACUAACCAGAAAGGGACGGCUAACUACGUGCCAGCCGCCGCGGUAAUAC
rnacentral:rRNA from 1 species